ACCGACCCUACAAAUCACCACAUG
rnacentral:siRNA from 1 species